AUCAAAUAUCAUACACGUAAUCAUCCGUAUUAUUCUGAUCUGAUUACACGAAUAGUGACUAUGCGAGUAAUCUUUCCAAAAUCUUUAAAUUUUUACCUCACUGUGAUACUUUUCACGCGUCUUCGCUUGAAAUGAUAAAAAAUUAUUUAUGAAAGAUACGAGUAAAAAUCCUUAAAACUAAACUCAUGAUGCAUCUGAGUGUGUCUUCACUGUCAACAAAAAUAAAUAAAAAUGGCGUGCGGCUUUAUUCUUGUGGGCCCGUACGUUUCCGGAAAACCCGUUAAAUUUGGCCAGGAAACCUAUGAAUGGCCAUAACACUACUCGAAAAAAGCGUACCGUGGUCAACCGCAUCGCUAGCGAUACAGCUCGACUAAGAACAGCAGAUGCGACGACAAGCUAUACCAAAGCGUAACAUACAAAGAAUGUCAAUAAGCAGCAUUCAAGAUGCCCAGCCGCAUCCGUCGAUUCCGAACCAGUUUCUCAGCCACGAUUACAACCACAAGCGCCAGCCGUCACUGAUAGCUGAUAGGACUACCAGCGGCAACAGCACCAACACCAAAUCAGACAUCCGCCGGAAGCGUUCCUGCAUCACUACUUUUUGUCUUCUGGGAGAAUCUAAGGCGGCAAAGCUACCAUCGGUGAUGAGGCUCUGGAUGCUUUGAAAGAACAAACAUCAAGUGUCCAUUUGAAUGUGAAAACUGGUCGUCAAUCUGAACAAAACAUGCUUACUCAAUCAAAGUCGGUCGGUGAAAAUGCUAUGCCCCCAUGAAACUUUCCUGUCCACCUAGAAUCACUGAACCAAAGAGGCAGGUGCUCGAAGUAGCGAGAACCACAAUGGUGGAGACAGCAUUCAUAUACGUACCAUUGUUUAUUUCGGAAGGUUUGUCACAUUAGAUAAAAAUGUAUGCCUUUGGGUACAUAUCAGCCGAAAGUAAAUCGCGGAACAUGAACGCACACAACCAGAGGAGCCAGCGCUAGAAGCAAUAACAAAAAAACGGCUUCUCCAGAACCGCACGCGCACUACAGGUUCCAGCUCGAAUGGUGGUUCUACAUUCGGAUUUGUCGGCCAUGUUGACCAUGUUUUCUACACUGAAAGAACUGCAAACCAAACCGACGAGGUGAUUUUAUUAGGCAGCGCCAACUCCAUUCGGCAGCGAUCUUACGCUAGCUGCAGCCACCGGUAGCCAAGUAACUUUCUAUACCAAGUCGAAGUGAGGGUUUAUGAUACGGCAGAUUGCACAGAUCCAAAAAGCCACAAAAAAGCCAAAAAGACGCAAUCUUAGACAGAAUUACAGCUCCGGUGGCAAGUGCUAGCACCACAUUGAACCAGCACCACGGUAAUGUAAAGUGCAUAUUUAGAAUCUUUAUAUAUUUUAUAAGUAUAUCUUUUUGUUAUUUUAGGUUGAAUAUUCUAACAACAACAUCUUCUGGUUGAAUGAUGUCAGGGUGCUCAAGGCUUUUGAAAGCUUAAAACGCACUGAGGCUAAACUAGGGAUACCAUACGUACUCUUUUAAGAGUACAUGUACUCUUUUUCGAUCGGGAAAUGAGCGUACUCUUCUUUUUGUCAAAUUUUGCGAAAUGUACUCUUUUUUUGGCGAAAAGAAUUAAAUAAAAUUUUCUCUUAUCAACUAUUUUUUUCCGAUACAUGAAGAUUAUACAUAGAUAUUCUUAUAAAUUCAAGAGAUCCAACUUUUUAUGCAUUCGAUGCAUAACAUUUCAAAUUUGUUUUUUUGUUGAAUAUUUCAAAGGAUAGAAACCUACGGAAGGGAUCACGAUUACAUUAACAAUUUCAAACGGGAUUUUUCGUUCUAAAUUUUGAGAUGAAUCAUCCUUCAGGAUGAAAAUCCCGAGAAAAAAAGUUCUUAAUUAGCGCCUUUGAGUAUGCAAUGAACUCCUGGACAGUAGGCAAUAUUCAAACAACAACUAGCUUAAAAGCAUUGUGCACAAUUGCACACGAAUCAGCAAUGAUGUUUUUAAAGAAUGAAAAAAAUACACCUCUAUAGAUUUUUUUUUUUAAAUGCAGUUUUUAUCAACUUUGGUGUACUUUCGCAGCAUAAAAUCGAAAUCUUUGAAUAAUCCAACUUAAAAUACUGAGCAUUUGUCAUGUAAGUCGCAUAUCUUGUAACAGCUUGGCGUUAUUGAAUUGGCUUAAAACAUCACGUUUUUUUUUAAUAAAUGGCGUUCAUCUUUUCAAUUUUGAAUUUUUUUUUCUAAAUGUACUCUUUUUGGCGUUGCAGGAUAUGGUAACCCUAGGCUAAACGAAAGGCAAUUAAGAUUCUAUCAACAAACUAGAUGAUAUUUGUGAUGCUAAGUAUUAGCUCAAAGGAGCCAGCGAUUGCCACCUAUUUUAUGGAUAGAAGUUCUAUUUUUUUUUUCUUCGAACAUUCCAAUGAUUCGAAUGGAAUCGAUGUAACAGAAGGACCGCUUUGUUAAGGAUUCACGACGAAAUGUUUUUAACUUUACAUUAUAGACCUUUUUUAUAACCGCAAUAGUUAAGUUAAUAUUUUCUAAAAGCUAUUGCAAUUUUUAGUGUUCAUGGUAGAAUUUACAAUAAGAAUGAAUGUAAGACAACAGAAUGAUCAAUUCAUGUUUCUAAGAUACUUAGUUGGCAAUUUAGUCUGAAAUUGUAUGUUCAACAUUUCCCAGAUUCCCACAAUUACAUUUAUGACAAAACAAGAGUUAAUUAAAAAGAAAAAAUGGAAUACAGGCCAGGAUAGAAAUAGCAUCAAAUAUCAUAUUUUUUAAAUUUAUUAUCAGACUAUAGUCUAUAGACUAUAAUAUGCCUUAUGAUUUCUACAUAAAACAGCAUGAAGCAGAAUUGAAAAGAAUAAUUUAAGAUGAAAUUUAGUAUCAGAUAUCAAAUUUUUUGAACCGUAAGAUAUAAGAAUCCAGAAUACUAAACCAAAAUUACAAAACCUUUUUUAAGGACUAGAGAUGUAAAAACCCUAUAUCUAACAUAAAAAUUUGAAUCUCAUGAGUCUAUCGUUUUCAGAAUUGGUAUCAAAAAGUUUCAGAUCCUUUUUUAUGCAUUCCAAAAAUUACAAAUUCAAAUUUGAAUAUUGAAAACUGGAAAGCACUUUGGAUUUUCAAACAACAUUAGGAAAAAUUUUGAAAAGCAUUACAGGUAAAUUAAAGCUGAAUGUACAAUUCAGUCUAGAAAGAUUCUUUGCAUCUUAUGAAGAUUUUUAUGAACAUCAAACUUAAAUAAGUGCCAAAGUAAAUAAAAGUAAAUGCCAAAUGCCAAAAUAAAUAAACAUGAAAUUACUCAAAAAGUAACUAUAGAUAAUAUAAAUUAUAAAUUAUAUUUGUGUUGUGAAUAAAAUGCUUUUAAAACGA